GACGAACGCUGGCGGCGUGCCUAAUACAUGCAAGUCGAACGCAGUUGCGCACGGGUGAGUAACGCGUAGGUACCUGCCUCAUAGCGGGGGAUAACUCUUGGAAACGAUAGCUAAUACCCCAUACUGUGAGAUGUACCUGCGUUGUAUUAGUUAGUUGGGUGGGUAAAGGCUCACCAAGGCGACGAUACAUAGCCGACCUGAGAGGGGGAACGGCCACACUGGGACUGAGACACGGCCCAGACUCCUACGGGAGGCAGCAGUAGGGAAUCUUCGGCAAUGGACGGAAGUCUGACCGAGCAACGCCGCGUGAGUGAAGAAGGUUUUCGGGUCGUAAAGCUCUGUUGUUAGAGAAGCGGUAACUAAACAGAAAGGGACGGCUAACUACGUGCCAGCAGCCGCGGUAAUUC
rnacentral:rRNA from 1 species